rnacentral:rRNA from 1 species
AAACACAAACUUUUUGCCAAAAAGGUGGCUCCAUCUUCCCCAGAAAAAAUAUCCUUGACCAAUGAGUCUAAAAGCACACGGAAGGCCCUUGCUGGCAUCUAUGACGAAGUUUUGGUUGUUGACAAUAUCGACUCAGCCGAGAAUGUUGUUCGAUUGCUUACUACAAAGUACAAAAGCUUUGUUCAUGCAUGCGGCACAGAGGUAGCAAAUAUUGAUGUCAAAAAAGAGACACCGGUUGAUCAUGGAGAAGUUAUAUGCUUUAGCAUCUAUUCAGGAAAUUUGGAUGCACAUGCCGAUUUUGGAAAUGGCAAAACAUGCAUUUGGGUGGAUGUGCUAGACGGUGGGAGGGAUGUCUUGAUGGCGUUUGCUCCAUUCUUCGAGGACAUGUCUAUCAAGAAGGUUUGUCAUAACUAUAGUUUUGAUAGUCAUGUCAUUGAGAACUAUGGAAUCAAGGUGACUGGGUUUCAUGCUGAUACAAUGCAUCUUGCACGCCUUUGGGAUUCUAACAGGAGAACCGAUGGUGGAUAUUCACUCGAAGGACUUACAAAUGAUCCGAGAGUCAUGAGUGAUGUUGGAAAGGAUUUAAUUAAAACUGGAAAGGUAUCAAUGAAAACAAUCUUUGGUACAAAAAAGAUUAGAAAAGACGGAGGUGAAGGGAAAGUUGUAUAUAUUGAACCAGUAGAAAAGCUGCAAAGGGAAGACAGAAAGAUGUGGAUUUGCUAUUCAUCAUUGGAUUCAGUGAAUACACUGAAGCUUUAUGAAAGCCUGAAAAGCAAGCUUGAAGCAAAAGAAUGGAUUUUCGAUGGUUGUCCUAGAGGAACAAUGUACGAUUUCUAUGAAGAGUAUUGGCGUCCCUUUGGUUCCCUUCUUGUGAAGAUGGAAACAGAGGGAAUGCUUGUUGAUCGUGCUUACCUCUCAGAGAUCGAGAAAACUGCUGUUGCUGAACGGAAAUUGGCUGCAGAUAAGUUCAGGCAAUGGGCAUCUGAAUAUUCUCCAGAUGCCAAGUACAUGAAUGUGAAUAGUGAUAUACAACUUCGCCAGCUUUUCUUUGCUGGCAUUGAGAACAGGCAUAAACAUGGUGAGACCUGGCCACAAAGUAAAAUGUUUAAAGUGCGAAAUGAUGAAAACAUAGCUCCAGAGGGCCAGAAGGCUUCAAAGUUCCGCACAAUCGAACUUUCUGGUAUUGUGGAAGAUCUGAAAAUUGAUAUGUUCGCCCCAAAUGGGUGGCCUUCAGUCAGCAUUGAUGCAUUGAAAAUAUUGUCUGGUAAGAUACCCAUGGAUCAAAUUUACACAAUAGAAGACGACCAAGAGCGAGAUGAAUAUAGCAACGGUUCAGAACUUCCCGAGCAGGAUAUAGAAGCAGCAUCAUCAUAUGGAACUGCAUAUGAACCGUUUGGUGGAGGAAAGAAGGGAACAGAAGCAUGCCAUGCCAUUGCGGCUCUGUGUGAAAGGUCCUCUAUUGACAAGUUGAUAUCCAGCUUCAUUCUUCCCCUGCAGGGAGAUAAUAUAUCAUGCAAGGAAGGGCGCAUUCACUGCUCGCUAAAUAUCAACACUGAGACAGGGCGCUUAUCAGCACGAAUACCAAAUUUGCAGAAUCAACCUGCACUUGAAAAGGAUCGAUAUAAGAUCCGCCAAGCGUUUUUUGCAGCUCCAGGGAACUCUCUUGUUGUUGCUGAUUAUGGCCAGCUGGAGCUGAGGAUCUUAGCCCAUCUUACUAGUUGUAAAAGCAUGCUGGAUGCUUUCAAGGCUGGUGGUGACUUUCAUUCUAGAACAGCCAUGAAUAUGUACGAGCAUGUGCGUGAUGCUGUUCACGAAAAAAAAGUACUUCUUGAAUGGCAACCUCAACCAGGUCAAGAGAAGCCUCCAGUGCCAUUGUUGAAGGAUGCUUUUGGUGCUGAGAGAAGGAAGGCUAAAAUGCUUAAUUUCUCUAUUGCAUAUGGAAAGACAGCUCAGGGACUAUCCCGUGAUUGGCAGGUGUCUGUCAAGGAGGCAAGGGAUACACUCAAACUCUGGUACAGAGAUCGAAAAGAAGUUUCAGCUUGGCAAAAGAGGCAGAAAGAGCUUGCUCGUGAAAAAUGCGAAGUAUACACAUUGCUAGGACGGUCACGCCGCUUUCCUAACAUGACUCACGCACCCCAUGGUCAAAAAGGUCAUGUUGAUCGUGCUGCUAUAAAUGCACCGGUGCAGGGCAGUGCAGCAGAUGUUGCCAUGUGUGCAAUGCUUGAGAUAGAAAGAAAUGCUCGCCUUAAGGAGCUUGGUUGGAGACUCCUAUUACAGGUGCACGACGAAGUGAUACUGGAGGGGCCUACAGAAUCUGCUGAAGCCGCCAGGGCCAUCGUGGUAGAGUGCAUGUCCAAACCCUUCUAUGGAACCAACAUCCUGAAGGUGGACCUGGCUGUUGACGGCAAGUGUGGAAAGAGUUGGUAUGACGCCAAGUAG